rnacentral:rRNA from 1 species
CCUACGGGAGGCAGCAGUGGGGAAUAUUGGACAAUGGGCGAAAGCCUGAUCCAGCCAUGCCGCGUGUGUGAAGAAGGCCUUCGGGUUGUAAGGCACUUUCAGUGGGGAAGAAAGCCUUGGGGCUAAUACCCUCGAGGAAGGACAUCACCCACAGAAGAAGCACCGGCUAACUCCGUGCCAGCAGCCGCGGUAAUACGGAGGGUGCGAGCGUUAAUCGGAAUUACUGGGCGUAAAGCGCGCGUAGGCGGUCUGAUAAGCCGGUUGUGAAAGCCCCGGGCUCAACCUGGGAACGGCAUCCGGAACUGUCAGGCUAGAGUGCAGGAGAGGAAGGUAGAAUUCCCGGUGUAGCGGUGAAAUGCGUAGAGAUCGGGAGGAAUACCAGUGGCGAAGGCGGCCUUCUGGACUGACACUGACGCUGAGGUGCGAAAGCGUGGGUAGCAAACAGGAUUAGAUACCCGGGUAGUC